AAUCUUCCGCAAUGGACGAAAGUCUGCCGGAGCAACGCCGCGUGAGUGAUGAAGGCUUUCGGGCCGUAAAACUCUGUUGUUAGGGAAGAACAAGUGCUAGUUGAAUAAGCUCGCACCUUGACGGUACCUAACCAGAAAGCCACGGCUAACUACGUCCCAACCGCCGCGGUAAUACGUAGGUGGCAAGCGUUACCCGGAAAUAUUGGGCGUAAAGCGCGCGCAGGUGGUUUCUUAAGUCUGAUGUGAAAGCCCACGGCUCAACCGUGGAGGGUCAUUGGAAACUGGGAGACUUGAGUGCAGAAGAGGAAAGUGGAAUUCCAUGUGUAGCGGUGAAAUGCGUAGAGAUAUGGAGGAACACCAGUGGCGAAGGCGACUUUCUGGUCUGUAACUGACACUGAGGCGCGAAAGCGUGGGGAGCAAACAG
rnacentral:rRNA from 1 species